CAUAUGUACUCUUACACUGUUCAAGCAGCCCAAGGUGUGGGGACAAGAGGCUCUCUCUAUUCUCCAGAUCUUCCCCGCAUCAUCCAAGCUCCAGAAAACAGUGGCCUGAAACACUCGGAGGGGGAGAGAGAGAGAGAUUCAGGAUAGAGCCCAAUCCCAAAUGGAAUGUUUUCCUUUUGGUUUUAUUUGAAUAUAGUUUGCUUCAUUCCAACCAGAAUUGCAACAGCCAAAUAGAACUGUCUCUAAACGAUUAAAGUUCUGUACUAACGCCAACAAAGCAACUUGCUGGGGAAACAACAACAACCAAAAUCGCUUUCACAUCGAAGAUUGGUUUGCAUGAGUAGCAACCUCCAGAAACAACUCCGGCUCCAGCUGUGUUCAGAAGUGACAAAGGAUGUCAAAGGAAGAGCCCAGGAUGGCUGGAAUAGAGCGGGCCCUCUCAGAGCUGUAUCUUCCAAGAGAAGUCUUCUAUAGUCCCCACUGACUUUCAUGCAGCCUCCCCACCUCUGUUUCCAGAAAAUGGAUGCAAGCUAGUGUCACAGGCCUAAUCCUGGGAAUCAGUUUCUGGAAUGGAAUCUUGUGGAUGGACCUCUCACAGAUGCUUUUGGUUCUGAGAACACGUAAGAGGAAUGACGGUAAUCCUUGGCAUGCAAAGGAAUUGCCAUCAUUAGAAUAUCUUUUUUAAACCAGCAAUGAACCAGCAGAGCAUAUCGGUGGAAGGGGACACACCAGAUGCACUAAGACAAGCUGCCUCGAGUUCCUGUUGCCAUGACUUCCUUCAGGGAAUGACUGUUCACUCAAACUUUCUCCAAGGAAGGAGAAAUGCCUACCUUAUCCGACUGGUGAAUUUGGAUGAAGUAACUGGCCAUUUGUCCUUGAGAUCUGCCUGUCUGCAGAGAAUAGAAUACAUCCUCUUCUGUCCUUUGUCCAUUUGAAGUAAAGGCCGUUGAUCUGAUGAUCAGAUGUGUAGGUUUCCAGUCUGAUUAAAUCUGAAGUUCAAACUUAGAAGCUGAUGUCGUGGCAUAUGGAAGGCAUGCUCUCCAGCGUCAGCUUCCAUGUUGCCUUCCCCUGUGUCACUUCUGAUUUCUAUGACUUGGCUUUGGACACCAAUGUCAAACUGAGGGUUUGGGUACUCAUCUUCUCAAACUCUAGCAUAUCAAAUAGAUCACCCUCCAUGUAGAAUGUGAAGAACCAUGAACUUCCCAGUCCUAUAGAUCGUCUUGGUGAAGUAUCUGUUGAAGGUGACUAUUCUGCCCAAAUAUCUUUGAGUCCUAGACAUCCUUUUAGGGACUGUUGAAGGCAGAUAAUGGUAAUAGAACUCCAUUACCUCUACUGUAUCAUUUUAAUGUAAGUUUUUAUGCCUAUAAAGGAACAAAGUCUUUAUAUCUAAGAAUUGAUUUUCAUAGUAUCUGUGUGGUUAAUCAUAUCUUUUAAUACGUUAUAACAUUGAAAUACAGGGUAAGUAAAGCUAGAUGCCUGGUCCCUUUAAAGAGUUUUCUGAGGCCAGGUGUGAUAGUGUACACCAUUAAUGGCAGUACUGUAGGAAAUCCUACAGCUACUAGCCUUUAAGUUACUUGCCCACUGGGGAGUGGCCCCUUAUACUAUUUAUGUUGAUGUAAAAGCCUGUGUCCAGCCUCUUUUCCAGUUGCAGGAUUUGGUUGCUGUUCUCCAUUCCAACAGAGGAUUCUAAUUUGUGAGUCUACCCCUAAAUAAAUAACCAUCUAUUAUUCUCAAUUCUGAGCUAGUGUGGGAUUUCUUUUAAGUGUCCUUCUUCAUCUGGUGCCCAACAUGAGAUUGGUGCCCACAUUGCCAACUAAAUUCACAUAAAACCUAAGGGCUUGAAAAGGAAUUCUAGACAAAAAAAUUAUAGAGUUUAACACAGCUUCUUGCUGUUUGCUGGUGGCAUGCUACAACUCUUUUAAGAGAGGUUUUCCUGACUCAGCAGCAGCAGCAGAAAAAAAGCUGUGCUGCUGUUUUGAAAUGCAGACUUUCUGGGACGUGCUGCCAGUGCAACCUCUGGCUCUUUCGGGAGACUAAGUAUUUGGAUGGAGUUUGUGAGAAGCAUACUAUGACUUGCUUAAUGGCAAUGUGGACCAGAUGUAUGCCUGGAAGUGGGGUGGUGUGUGUGGCUCUCAGGAGCAGAGAGCAGCUCUGUCAAGUUGCAAUGGGCACAGCAAGCAGGAAGUAUUGUAAGUAGUACAGUCAUGUAAUGUCAUGUAAUGUCACAGCUUAGAUUCUUAAGCAUUUAGCAUUUUAAGAAGCACUUCUGGUCAGAAAAUAAUUUCAGAUAUGCAAUAAAGACAAAUCCAGAUGAGUCAUAUUAUUGGAUAAAUGUACAUCGGAUUGGGAGAGAAAAGAAAAAGAGUAUAGAGAGGCAUAAAAGUCUUUAAGGAGACAGAGUACAGAUAGUCAUAGAUUAAAAGGAGUAAAGAAAAAUAAGCCAAUUGAAAAUUGAAAAUUCACAGAGAGUCUGGAUAAUGUGCAUUUUUGUGUUUUCUUUGAAUCUUUUGACUGUGAAGGAGCUAAGUACAGAGAGACAUUUCAUUGUAAUGGGCUGCUAAGCUAAACCAGCAUGUAUAUUAUAAAGGUAUCAUGACUUCCAAAUUUGGGUCUAAGGAUAUGCUGCUUUGGAAAAGAGGUUCUUCUUUUGUUUCCACAGAGGAUGAUAACCUGUGGAUUGCUUCCAGACUGAUGUGGUUUGAUGGAAAAAGACCCCCUGAAAGGUCACAAUGAACACCCUUAAAAAAUUACCUUGUCCAACUGGUGACUGAACCUAGCACACAGGAUACAUCAUAAAAGACCUGAAAUCAGCAGGAAGCAGUAUGGAAAAAAAUACACCCAUAUUUUCAAAUAGUGUGUAUAUAUGUUUGUCUACAUUUGAAGGGGAUAUGCUAUAGAGUUUUACAUUGGUAUAGAUCUUGGUUUAUUGACACAAAUGUAAUGUUUUGUUAUACGUAUAUUCUGAUCUUGAUUAAGGUAUUGUGAUUGUGUAGUUCAUUUACAAAAUAAUGCAUAAUUAAUAAAUAUAGGUUAAUAGAUAAUCACCUAUAAUAGUCAAACUUAUAGUCAUGUUAGUUAGAUUUUCUAGAUGUAUAGAGAUACACUUCAGUUAGAUAGGUAUUCUUCAAAUCUUUGAGAGACCUUUGGAAAAUGGCAUUUGAAUGUUUUAAAAAUUUAAGACUUUACAUGACAGUGACACAAUCUGUUCCUGGCAGCACCAAUCUACUUCAAGAGGAAGAUGAGCAUCAAAGAGGCUUCUUAUGGAGUUUGUUAGAUGAACUGGACAAGGAUCCACAGAGAAAUGAUUUCUGAACUUGCCUAAAGGUGAAAUGAUCCUUUGGGGUUCCUACUUCAUGAAAGAGUCUGCGAGACAAUCUGCAGGAUAGAGAAGAAAGUGACUGUCAAUCUACCAAUAUAGGCAAAUCUGCCUUUGAAAUUUCCUGCUUCAUGAAAAAGUCUGCUGAAUACUAUGGGCCUGUAGGCUAAAGAUGGAUGCCCCAAUGGUACAAAAGAACUUUGGGUGACUGCCCAGGCAGCGAAAUGUCUCUGUCAAUUCUAGAGUUAUAAAAGUUGCUUAUAAUGUGCUUACUGAUUACUUAGGUAAUAUUAUAUACUUCUGGAGUCUUUGAUGAAGUUGAAGAAUUUAUAGUUAUAGUUUUCCUUAGUUAUGAUAAAAGAUAGAGUAGAUAUAAAUGUUGUAACUGUAAUUCUUCAUAGAAUUUUACUAUGUUAAAGCCUUGCUUUUAGUUUAAACAGAAAAGGGAAAUGGUGUGGGAGGUCCUUUUGUCUGUAUGUUACUUUUUUGGUUAAUGAAUAAAGAAACUGCCUUGGCCUGUUGAUAAGGCAGAAGGUGGAGAAUAUGGAACUGAAUGUUAGGAGGAAAAAGGCAGAGUCAGAGAGAAGCCAUGGAGCCACCACAGCUGGAGAUAGACUUGCUGAAACUUUGCUGGUACGCCACGACCUCAUGGUAAUACACAGAUUAAAUGAGAUGGGUUAAAUUAAAAUGUAAGAGUUAGUCAAUAAGAAGCAAGAGCUAAUGGGUCAAGCAAUGAUUUAAAUAAUACAGUUUCUAUGUGAUUAUUUUGGGGUUAAGCUAGCCAGGCAGCCAGGAACUGAAUGAGUGCUCUCCUCCUACUAUAUGCCAGCACUCAGGAGGCAGAGAAACUAGUGAAUUCCUGUGAGUUCCAGGCCAGCCAGGGCUACAUAGUAAUAUCAGUUUACUUUAUUUUCUUACAAAAUUAUGGCCCUUGUGCAAGAAUAUAUAGUUCAAUACAAACUAUUUUCAAAACUUGUGUUCUUUGAUAGCAACUGUGGUUAGUUGUACAAGAUUGUGUAUGACUAUAUGGACAAAAUGGAGUAGAGAAAGACUCAGUGCCUUUGUUGCAUCCUUAGGAUCUUUCAGAAAUCAGUGAUAGCUGGGGAAGAGAGAUAUUUCUUCCAGCAACAGGGCCUUUGGUAAAGUACCCAAGCUCCUGUAAGCAACCCUGAUUGUUUCUCAUAUGAAAAACUUGAUCUGAAAGUGAAAGGGAGGCUGUUUGGAAGAGAAAAGGGAUCAGCAAAUGUAGGAGGGAAGUGAGGUUAUGGGAGAGAAACUGGAUCAAGAUACAUUCCAUCCAUGUAGGAAGGUAUUACAAUAGAUUCCACUCUUAUUACGGAUAAGUAAUCCCUGCUAAUUAUGUUCUUGAAUAAAAUCAUAAGAAUAUCAACCCAGUAAUUUAUAACUUAGGGUUUUGUCUCCUCAAAGCAUUCAUUCAAAAUUUGAAUCAGAAUAUGAACAUUCUGGAGCAAGAAAGAUGGUACACCCCCAUAAUUCCAUCAGCUGGGAGACAGAAGUCAAAGUCUGAGGCCAGCUUGGUCCAUAGAACUAGAUCAAAAAUCCAAAAUAAAUAAACAAACAAAUGCAAGACUACGAACAUCCUAAAUUUAUGUGUAAACUAUUCCACUACCCUGUUUUCUUAAACGAAUCAAAUAGAACUUAAAAUUUUCCAUCUGCAUUGUUUUUUGCAUUCAAGAAAAGCUUGCCAAAUCUUAUGUGUAGACAUCUAGUUUUAUUGUCCAUCAAGUAUUUUUGAGCAAUCUACACUCCGAUGAAAAUGUCCCUAGGUACUAAAAAUGAAAAUUGAUAUUAUACAGUCAGCCAACACAUAUCGUUAACAUUUGAAAAUCAGUGGGUGGCUAUUGGUAAGACAGUACAGAUUUAAAAUGGGAAAAACAGAGAAACUAAUUUUAGUAUUGUUAGUGACUGAGAUGGGUAAUACAUGCAUUGGGAAUGAUGCUUGCAUUACACGUCAAAUCCCAUUACAAAAUAUGUCAUUAAAAGGGAAAGGUUUGUAGUAAAAGGGAUGUCCACACCCCUGGCUGAUGGCCCAUUUGUUUCAAACAUCAUUCAAUAUAAAACAGAGACAUUUCCCCUACCUUUGGAAUUCACUAAUGAAUUUGGCUUACAUUGCCAUAUGCCUCUGGCCAAAAGAUUCACAUUUAGGCACAUUCCCCAAUACAGAGAGAUCCUAAAGCUGCAUUCUCUACCCUCCCUUACCACAUUCCCUUGAAUUCCCUCUGCAUUCCUGUUGGUCUCCUGACCUGGACCACAGAUUUUACUUGUAUAAGUUUUAGAAAUGGGGGAAAGCAUUUGAGACAAGUCAAAGUUCUUUAAGAGACGUCGACAGUUCUGUAAGAGCUCUUCUGUGAUCCGAUUAUUCCAGCUGAUAAAACAUUGCCUUCCAGCACGUGUCAGGCUUGGGGCAUAAUCUGCAAUGUCUCAAGAAUAUGGCUGGGUAAUCACUUUGGUCUUAAGAGUUUUCAGAGGAUUGAUUUAGGUGGGUUCUAGUGAGAACCAGAAUCCAAUCUUAGCCAUGUCUGCAUCUCUGGGGAUACAAAUGGAGACAACAUAUGAUACAAUUGUCUAAGUUGAGCUGAUUAAUUGAACAAGCCCCCAAAAUAAGCAGAAAUAGCUAGCUCCUGGAAAUGGACUUCUUCCCGAAUUGAAUAAUUUUAGUUGCAGAGAUUGUCCACCUAAUUUGGGAAGUACCUCAACCUGAGUACAAUGAACUAAAUCUCAAGGAGAAUACUUUCUGAGGUUCAGAUACCCAUCUGCACAUGGUAGAAUCAUGACUUAGCUGAUCAGUUUGACAGUCAGUGAAAACUAACAGGGCCUGCACUUUAAACUCUGGGACUCUUUCUCCAGUACAAAUGAUUGGCAGUAUUUUGGAAAAGAUAGAAAGCAUGCCUUCUUAAUUUAGACUUAAUACAUUGUAUUAUCCUCAGCAAAACAUGUAACGUUUGCCUGCCAAAUGAGCUCGAAUCCUCUUUUGGUUAAGGAAUAGGCAAUUUAAUGAUGUUUUGUAGUUGUGGGUAGGUCUUGUUGAAAGACAAGUUGAAAGCAAAAAAGAAACCUUUUAAGAUUUUUCCUUCAUGUGUGAUUCUUCAGUUAUAUCACAUGCAAGCUGCAGAUGGGAUGAUUUAAUUCGUUCAUGUGUGGGGGGACAAAUAGGAUAGCUGAAAAAGGGACAUUUCCAGGCCGGCAUUUGUUCCAGUGGGACACUAUUUCUUUUUUUAAUCAAUUAAUUUGUUUUAAAAAACAAUCUUUUCUCAUUUUACAUACCAAUCCCAGUUCCCACACCCACUUCUCCUCCUGCUUCCUCCAUCGUUCCCCUAUUCCACCCCUUACCCACUCCUCAGAGAGGGUAAAGCUUCCCAUGGGGAGUCAACAAAGUCUAACAUUUUGAGGCAGGAUUUUCCCCACUAUAUCUAGGCUGAGCAAGGUAUCCCUCCAAAGAGAAUGGGUUCUAAAAAGCCAGUACAAGCAAUAAGGAUAAAUUCUGGUCUCACUGCCAGUGGCCCCAUAGACUGCCCUAGCCAUACAACUGUCAACUAUAUUCAGAGGGCCUAGUUUGGGCCUAUGCUGUCCCCCCCCCCCCCGUCAACCUAGAGUAAGUGAGCUCCCAUUACCUCCGUUAAGCUGUUUCAAUGGGCAUCCCCUUCAUGAUCUUGACCCCUUUGCUCAUAUAAUUAAUUGCUCCUCCCUCUCUUCCACUGGACUUUGGGUGCUCAUCUCAGUGCUAACUGUGGAUCUCUGCUUCUGCUUCCAUCAGUUGCUGGAUAAGGUUCUGUGAUGACAAUUAAGUUAGGUAUCAAUCUGAUUACAAGGGAAGACAAGUUCGGCACCGUCUCCAUUAUUGCUUAGGGUCUUAGUUGGUGUCAUCCUUGUGGAUUCCUGGAGAUUUUCCUAGUGCCAGGUUUCUUGCUAUUCCCACAGUGGCUUCCUCAAGCAACAUAUCUCUUUCCUUGCUCUCCCUCUCUGUCCUUCCCCCAUCUCGACCAUCUAGGUCCCUCAUGUUCUUCUCUCCCUUCUACUCUUACCCUCCUCCUCUCCUUCUGCCCUUCUUUCUCCCCCACUACCAUGCUCCAGAACACCUUGUCUAUUUCCCUUUCCCAGGGGGAUCCAUGUAUGUUUCUCUUAGGGUUCUCCUUGUUACCUAGCUUCUCUGAGGUAAUGAUCUAGUUAUCCUUUGCUUUACAUCUAAUACCCACUUAUAAGUGAGUAUAUACUGUUUGUCUUUCUGGGAAUUGGCACCUCACUCAGGAUUUUUUUUUUUUUUUUGUAAUGGCGUAAGCGAAUGCAGACAGAUUGUCAAAAUAUAGACAGCUUUAAUGGAGGAAUAGACUUACAGAACCACCGUUCUCGCGGAGACCAGGAAAGCAGAAGCGAGGGCUGGGAGCAGGCUUGCCAAACUUAAAGGCAAACUUUAGCCUGAGGCGAGCACGCCCCCUAAGGGGUGGGACUUAUCCCUACAUUUUUUUUUCUAGUUCUAUACAUUUGCAUGUAAAUUUCAAGAUGUCAUUACUUUUUACCACUGAGUACAACUCCAUUGUGUAAAUGUAUCACAUUUUCUUUAUCUAUUCUUCAGUUGAGGGACAUCUAGAUUCUUUCCAGGUUCUGGCUAUUACAAAUAAUGCUAUGAACAUAUUAGAGAAAAUGUCCUUGUAGUAUGAUUGAGAAUCAUUUGAGUAUAUGCCCGAGAGAAGUAUUGCUGGGUCUUGAGGCAGAUUGAUUCCCAAUUUUCUGAGAAAUCACCAUACUGACUUCCAAAGUGGCUGUAUAUGUUUAUACUCCCACCAGCAAUGGAGGAGUGUUCCCCUCACUCCACAUCCUCUUUAGCAUAAGCUAUCAUAGAUCUUUUUGAUCUUAGUCAUUAUGUCUGGUAUAAGUUGGAAUCUCAGAGUUGUUUUGAUUUGCAUUUCCCUGAUGACUAAGAAUGUUGAACAUUUCCUUAAAGUGACACUAUUUCUUACUCUCUGUUUUCCCAAUGCCCUGACUUUUAGCUGAUCAUGUGAUUUAGUGCUCUUGCUUCCCACUUAGUCAUUGUCCCAGUUUUCUUGUUCAACACAUGAAAGUUCUUCUGAAUACACUUUGCUCCUUCCUUAGCAAUCCUGUUUGGUUGCAACAGCACCAUUUUGCUGUUGUGUUUCUCCUCCUAGUAAUAUUUAUUAUGAUUUCAUGAAUGUUGCUUAGCUUUUAUCUUUCUAAAGUGUUAUCUUUCUGGUUUGUCCUGUAAAACAUUGAAGGUGGACUCUGUAUUUUAUGUCGUUAUUCUUCCUCUCUGAGAAUUAUCACUGAAUGAUCCAGGUUCUUAUUAAGAACUUAGGACAAGCAAAAAGAUUUUCAAAAUAUAAACCAAUGAGGCACCUGUACAUCCCAGAGUGAUAACUUCCUAUUCUACUGUAUGACUUA